UUAAAGCCUAAUUCAUCAUUGCAACAAAAUGAUAUUAUUUUAAUCUGGUAGUUGUAGAGAGAGUUGAAGCAAAGAUUUUUUCUCGGUGCUAUGUAUGUGGAAGCAAGAUUAUAUAUAAUUUUGAUACCCUUCACCUUUAUGUAGAGAUGGACUGUCACAUAAUUAUUGUCCUCACCUUGUAAGAGGUGCUAUGCCAAUAUAACAAGUUUUCUUCAUUUGAUUUAUAACUGUUGUUGAAGUGUUUUCUAGACUAAUUUUAGACUCUUUUUAAGCAAAGUUGCAGCCCAUCAUUUGUAAAGAUCAUGACCCUCCCCUACCUUAGGGAUAUUACCACCACAUUUCCAAGUUUUGUAUUUAAUUCAGAGGUUGAUGAGAUUGCUACGUGAGAUACAAUAGCUUAGAUUGCAGUUAGAGUUCAAUUGUCAGAAAUUUGGACGAACCUUACAUGAAAUAUGGUUAAAGACAAGAGGCUAGAAGAUGUAAAAGCACGGUUAAAUAUGGAGCUCACUAAGGGGGCUGUUUAUUCUUACUGAAUUCUGGAGCAGGUUCCAAGUUAUUAGAAGCAGAUCCUAAGGGUGCAGGGUAGCGCAUGCAUAGAGACUUGUUUUAUCACUCUUUUUUUUAUUUUUUGAGUAAACCAUCUUGUUUACCUUUGGGUCUGGCUUCUGCUUGUAAGAUCUUGUUAUUAUGCUCUUCUGAAAACUCAAC